UGUGCCUCAUGGAGCUGUCGUAAGGAAUCAGUUGAUUAAUGUAUAUAAACUGCUUGUGUUCUGUUGCUGCUUCUUUUACCAUUUCAUCUCCCCUAAAGUUUUUUUCAUAGUUCUUACAUCCUUCUCAUUUCUUCAAAGUGAGAAUUCUACGCUCCAGCAAUAGCAGAGAUAGAUGACACAAAUGACAUUCGCCCGCCCAUGGCUGCCCAUGGACCAAUUGGCAUGUGCUUCCUUCCCUCUGAGGCCCAUAGAAGCCCUGGACUCAAUCUGACUCAAGGAGAUGAUGGGACUACAAGCUGCGGAAAGGAGCUACCCACUCCAAGGUCUCUGCUGAGAGCUGAACACUCAUCAAGACACCCUGCCUGCAGGGAGGAGUUACCCAAUGCAGGUCUCCUCUGAGCUGUUCCAUUGCUCAAUAAAACUCCUCUUUGCCUUGCUCACCCUCCACUUGUCCGUCUACCUCAUUCUUCCUGGACACAGGACAAGAACUCGGGACCUGCAAAAGGGCUGUAACACAAACAGGGCUGAAACACAUCCCUUGCUCGCCAUAUUGUAGGUGACAAGAAGGAGAGACAAGAGAAGGAGAGAAGAGCUGCAGCCCUUCUGGGAGCCCAGGCCUAGGAGAUCCCUGAGCCAGGGCUAUGACACCCUCUUUGGGGCUCUAUGGUUCCUGGUGUCUCCAAGCUUCCGGAUGCCACUGCAUUCCUCAGUGCCAGCCGUGGAAGCUGCUGUGGUACAUUUGGUCCAGCCACAGCCUUGCAGGGAGCUGGCUCCCAUGCUGGUGCCUAUAGCUCCCCGCCCCACCACAGCCAGCUUGCCUGGCCAUGCACAGUGGCCAGACCUCAUGCUCACUCAUGCACCCUUCGCCACUCCGCACCUGGCCCGCCCUUGGCAGGUAUGGGAUUCAGGGAUCCAGCCCCAGCCGAUUGCAGCCUGCCAGGCCGAGUGGGUGGAAUGAGACCUGUGGGCCCAAGCAAAACUCAGGCAAAGGCACCACUGGCCACAUAGGUUUCCAGCUGGUGAAGUGACACCCUGAGAAUCCCAUGACAUUAUCAUACACUCUUCUUAAAAACUGAACCCGAGGGAAAAAAUGAUACCCUUGAACGGUGAGGCAUAA
rnacentral:lncRNA from 1 species